rnacentral:rRNA from 1 species
UACAGAGGUCUCAAGCGUUUGUUCGGAUUCAUUGGGCGUAAAGGGUGCGUAGGCGGCGCGGUAAGUCGGGGUGUGAAAUCUCGGAGCUUAACUCCGAAACUGCAUUCGAUACUGCCGUGCUUGAGGACUGGAGAGGAGACUGGAAUUUACGGUGUAGCGGUGAAAUGCGUAGAUAUCGUAAGGAAGACCAGUGGCGAAGGCGGGUCUCUGGACAGUUCCUGACGCUGAGGCACGAAGGCCAGGGGAGCAAACGGGG